rnacentral:rRNA from 1 species
CGAUUGAAGUUAGUGGAACUGGUACAAAAUCAGCUUACGCAUUAAGGCAAUUAGCGCAUUGGCGAGCCUAAAAACCGCCAUAGUCGAUAUUCAAUUACUUGUGUGGGGUGCAUUUUUGUAUCGGCUGGUUAACAUCAAUUUUGACUGUCAUAAAAAGGCUAAAGGGAAUCGGGCUCCUUCGGGAGUGUGAUAAACUUUAAGCGGAAUAUGGUGGUCGGGAUUGAGGAUUGCAACGAAUACCUUUAGGGCUGCUCAAACUGGUCUGAUCGCCCCACUUUAGUUAUCAU